UACGAAGGGGGGCUAGCGUUGCUCGGAAUCACUGGGCGUAAAGCGCACGUAGGCGGCUUUUUAAGUCAGAGGUGAAAUCCUGGAGCUCAACUCCAGAACUGCCUUUGAUACUGAGAGGCUUGAGUCCGGGAGAGGUGAGUGGAACUGCGAGUGUAGAGGUGAAAUUCGUAGAUAUUCGCAAGAACACCAGUGGCGAAGGCGGCUCACUGGCCCGGGUACUGACGCUGAGGUGCGAAAGCGUGGGGAGCAAACAGG
rnacentral:rRNA from 1 species